rnacentral:rRNA from 1 species
CCUACGGGAGGCAGCAGUGAGGAAUAUUGGUCAAUGGACUAGAGUCUGAACCAGCCAAGUAGCGUGAAGGAUGACUGCCCUAUGGGUUGUAAACUUCUUUUAUCUGGGAAUAAAAUGUUCCACGUGUGGGAUGUUGUAGGUACCAUAUGAAUAAGGAUCGGCUAACUCCGGGCCAGCAGCCGCGGUAAUACGGAGGGUCCGAGCGUUAUCCGGGUUUAUUGGGGUUAAAGGGAUCGUAGGUGGAUUGUUAAGGUAGUUGUGAAAGUUUGGGGCUCAACCGUAAAAUUGCAGUUGAAACUGGCAGUCUUGAGUAGACUAGAGGUGGGCGGAAUGCGUGGUGUAGCGGUGAAAUGCUUAGAUAUCACGAAGAACUCCGAUUGCGAAGGCAGCUCACUGGAGUGCAACUGACACUGAGGCUCGAAAGUGUGGGUAUCAAACAGGAUUAGAUACCCUUGUAGUC